rnacentral:rRNA from 1 species
GCGUGGGAACAUACCUAAUAGUACGGAAUAACAGUUGGAAACGACUGCUAAUACCGUAUACGCCCUUUGGGGAAAGAUUUAUCGCUAUUAGAUUGGCCCGCGUUGGAUUAGUUAGUUGGUGGGGUAAUGGCCUACCAAGACUACGAUCUAUAGCUGGUCUGAGAGGAUGAUCAGCCACACUGGGACUGAGACACGGCCCAGACUCCUACGGGAGGCAGCAGUGGGGAAUAUUGGACAAUGGGCGCGAGCCUGAUCCAGCCAUGCCGCGUGAGUGAUGAAGGCCUUAGGGUUGUAAAGCUC